rnacentral:antisense_RNA from 1 species
CGCUCCGCGGCGGGUGUGCUCGGCAGUCACAGACCCACUCAGGACACCUCCCGUUGCCGACGGGCUAGACCUGCCUUAAAGGGGUCCCCGUGUCUCUCCAGUCUAGAGCCUAAGUUCAAACGAGGCGUAUAGGCGAGGACAGCAGGAAGGCUCCAAGUCAAACAAAUGGAUGCCCACAGGGAAGUGGUCUUGGGAAACCUGAAGACACUGGGAUAUUCAGAAGGCCAAGGGGAUCCAGCUUAUCCUGUUGGGCAAGGUGCUGGGAGUGAAGGCAGGUCACCUGAAUGAUACUGGUGCCAUUUCUGAAGUUGGUGAAACUCCGCAUUACAUCCUGACUCAGAGAUUCCACUGAUGAUUUCCAGGAACUACCAAAGCCACGGAUCAGCUGAGUUACCCGGGCUAAUAGCAGGAGGAAACAGUGUCAGAGAGGGAUCUGGCUGAUCUUCAACUCCACUAAGUUCUCCCCAAGGUAUAGCCAUCCUUAUCAUCAAACCCUCUUUUCUGGUAUUCUCUCAAUCCAGUCUUUCAUACUCUAUUCCCCCACCAUGUAAUCUGCAUCCUUUCAUUUUUCUUUUCCACUUCCCUUACCACUGAUCCCAUCAUUACCAUAUUUUCCUCAUACCUUCUUCCCCUCGAAGUCGCUCAGCCUGUCCACGCUCAAUCAAAGCCUCAGCCUCCUUCACAAAUGCCACUAAACCCCCA